rnacentral:rRNA from 1 species
UACGGAGGUGGCAAGCGUUGUUCGGAAUCACUGGGCGUAAAGGGCGCGUAGGCGGGGUCGGAAGUCGGGUGUGAAAGCCCCGGGCUCAACCCGGGAACGGCGCUCGAGACUCCGGCUCUUGAGUCCCGGAGAGGCGGGUGGAAUUCCUGGUGUAGCGGUGAAAUGUGUAGAGAUCAGGAGGAACACCGGUGGCGUAGGCGGCCCGCUGGUCGGAGACUGACGCUGAGGCGCGAAAGCGUGGGGAGCAAACGGG